rnacentral:rRNA from 1 species
UACAGAGGUCUCAAGCGUUGUUCGGAUUCAUUGGGCGUAAAGGGUGCGUAGGCGGCGCGGUAAGUCGGGUGUGAAAUCUCGGGGCUUAACUCCGAAACUUCAUUCGAUACUGCCGUGCUUGAGGACUGGAGAGGAGACUGGAAUUUACGGUGUAGCGGUGAAAUGCGUAGAUAUCGUAAGGAAGACCAGUGGCGAAGGCGGGUCUCUGGACAGUUCCUGACGCUGAGGCACGAAGGCCAGGGGAGCAAACGGG